GCUUGUUGCACCACCACCACGACCCCCUACUUUUGUCCUUCCCGCGGUGUCCGGCGUCCGCGCCUACCUGCGCCAUGCACCAGCGGAUCACGCACUAUCUACAGAUGGCGGCGGCGCUCCUGCUGCUGUCUCUGACGCACUAUUUCGCAUCCUGCUUCCUGCCCAUCUCAGACUGCGACGAGACGUUCAACUUCGUUGAGCCCAUCCACUACCUCCUCUACGGCUCUGGCAAGCAGACGUGGGAGAUGUGCUCGCGUUUCGCGCUGCGCUCGUGGCUUUUUCUGUGGAUUUACGCGUGGCGAGCAGUGCUCAUCCGCGGCGCCGCCAGCCUUUCCAGCGUCCGCGUGUAUUUCUACCUUCGUAUUAUGAACGGCUGUGCCGCCGCCCUGGCAGAGCUCUUCUUUGUGUGCAGCGUGUGGCUCGCGUUCUCUGGCAAGGCGGCGGGGGUGGCGCUGCUGCUGUUGCUCUCCAACUACCCCAUCCACCACGCGGCGGUGAGCGUCUUGCCAACGAGCUUCGCGAUGAUAUGCAACUUCGUGGUGCUCGGGUGCUGGCUGCGCACGCAGCCGUGGACGACGUACUCGCCCGCCUCGCCGUCGCGCUUUAAAGGCGGAUCUACUAGGAAUGCCAGGUCGGCGGCCGCGGCGCACGUUGUCCGGCUGUCGACGCCGAUGCCGUCAUCAUCGUCGUCGGCGCCACCGCGGCACCUCUGCUGGUUCAUCGGCGCUGCUCUAUUCUUUAGUGCGCUUGGAAUAGUGACAGGGUGGCCGUUUGCCGUCCUCAUCUCCGCUCUUGUCGGUCUCGAUCUACUGCUGCAUUUCCCUGCACAAGCCCUCGCUUGCACGCUCGGCUCUCUUCUCGUAGUGUGCGCGGCUACUUUUCUGGCGGAUGCGCGGUACUACUGUCGCUGGACGCUGAGCAGCUGGAACGUCGUCACUUACAAUCUCUUCGGCAACUCAGGACGCGGCGCGGAGCUGUUCGGUGUCGAGCCCUGCUUUUUCUUUUGGAAGAACCUGUUGUUGAACUUCCACCUCAUGUUCGUGGCGGUCAUGCUAGCGCCUCUGGUCCUCCUGUACGCACCGCGGCGAGAGCUAGCCGCCACGUCGGCGCGCUCCGACGCGGUGAGCUCGGGAAGGCCACCUGGCGACGGCGCUGCACAAGAGUCGAACGACAGCGCCGUAUCCCCCACGAACUCGCUCGUCCGCUCGCGGCUGCGGACUUCAGGCACGCACGGCAGCGCAGCGGAGCUUCACUCCUCGCUACUCGCCAAUCGGCACCCUGGUGAGCAGGUGCUUGCAGCAAAAAUAGGGGCUGCUGUGUCGCGCGUCUCUCGCCAGCGGGAGCUGCUCUACGUGAUGCCGUUCUUCGUGUGGUUUCUCUUCUGGAUGAGCAUCGCGCACAAGGAGGAGCGCUUCAUGUCGCCCGCCUACCCGUUCAUGGUGCUGGCGGCGACAAGGACUUUGUGCCUCAUGUUCUUUCCUGACGCAGCCGAAGGUCAACCGAACUCGGCAGCGGCAACGCCAAAACGCGAGAAGAUCACUCCCGACGUGGUGGCGGUAACCGCGGCGGACGCCCAGGACACCGCCCUCACUUGUCAGCCGCCGCGCCGUCCUUCUCUGCCACCACAAGGGUGCCCCUCGCCCGCCUUCCUGGGGUGGCGCCACCUUGCUGGGCUGGCCUUCUUCUUGGCCUUCUUCCUCCUCUCGUACUCGCGGGCGAUGGCGGUCUACGUCUUCUACAGCGGGCCGGAGCGCAUGUUUUUCGACUGGUACCCUGUGCUGCAGGCGGAGGCGCAGCGGGCGUGGGAGGCGAAGCGUCAGGCAGUACGGCGGGACGCCGCAGUGCGUGGCCAAGCGUCACCGUCAUCGCUGCCACCGGGCACGACGGCUCAGCAGACGCAGGAGCUGCGCGCCUACUACACCGUGUGCCUCGGGCGCGAGUGGUAUCGCUUCCCCUCUUCCUUCUUCGUUGAUCAUCGCUGGAUUCGCUACCAGUUUCUGGAAACCCACCACUUCCAUGGCAUGCUGCCCCUGUCCUUUGUGACUCCGCCGGCUGGGCAGGAGAGCGGGUUCUUGCGAGCGCCAUCGAGCGAGGCUGCGGCUGCGACGAGCAAGUCACCGUCAACGUCAUCGUCCACGACCGCCCGCGGCUCGUGCUCCUGUGGCGCCCCCGGUGUUAACGACCUGAACCAGGAGAUUCCGGAGCAGUACGUGCGCUACCCUUCAGAGCAGUGCGACGCCAUCUUUGAUAGCCUUUCGCCUCCCAGUCAUGUAAGCGCGGCGCAUCACGCCACCGAACUCAAGCAUCUCCAACUCGAUACCGUGUUCACUCGCUCGCUGCUGAACAUCAGCGCCUUGCAAGCGGUGCUGAAAGCCGGCAGGAAGACGCAACGCGUGGGAAACGAUGCGUAUGCUGUCCUGGAUGUCGACCGGACGCCGCUCUGGUGCCGUGUCUUGUACUACCCAUUCGGUGUAACGAGACGCUGCGCGGUGUGGCGGCCACUUGUGCUGAACUCCAAACCGUGACUCCCCUCUUCUCCCGUGGCGCUGCGCGCAUACGUGUGAACGUGUGUGUGUGCGUGUGUGUUCCUCCGCGGCACAUUAG
rnacentral:misc_RNA from 1 species